AUUGAACGCUGGCGGCAUGCUUUACACAUGCAAGUCGAACGGUAACAGGCCGCAAGGUGCUGACGAGUGGCGAACGGGUGAGUAAUGCAUCGGAACGUUCCCAGUCGUGGGGGAUAACGCAGCGAAAGCUGCGCUAAUACCGCAUACGAUCUGUGGAUGAAAGCGGGGGACCGAAAGGCCUCGCGCUAUUGGAGCGGACGGUGUCAGAUUAGGUAGUUGGUGGGGUAAAGGCCCAACAAGCCAACGAUCUGUAGCUGGUCUGAGAGGACGACCAGCCACACUGGGACUGAGACACGGCACAGACUCCGAAGGGAGGCAGCAGUGGGGAAUUUUGGACAAUGGGCGCAAGCCUGAUCCAGCAAUGCCGCGUGCAGGAAGAAGGCCUUCGGGUUGUAAACUGCUUUUGUACGGAACGAAACGGCUCUGGUUAAUACCUGGGGCUAAUGACGGUACCGUAAGAAUGAGCACCGGCUAACUACGUGCCAGCCGCCGCCGUAACAC
rnacentral:rRNA from 1 species